rnacentral:rRNA from 1 species
AUUGAACGCUGGCGGCAUGCCUUACACAUGCAAGUCGAACGGCAGCACGGGUGCUUGCACCUGUUGGCGAGUGGCGAACGGGUGAGUAAUACAUCGGAACAUGUCCUGUAGUGGGGGAUAGCCCGGCGAAAGCCGGAUUAAUACCGCAUACGAACUACGGAUGAAAGCGGGGGACCUUCGGGCCUCGCGCUAUAGGGUUGGCCGAUAGCUGAUUAGCUAGUUGGUGGGGUAAAGGCCUACCAAGGCGACGAUCAGUAGCUGGUCUUGGAGGGAGGACAGCCACACUGGGAAUGAGACACGGGCCAGACUCCUACGGGAGGCAGCAGUGGGGGAUUUUGGCAAAUGGGCGAAAGCCUGAUCCAGCAAUGCCGCGUGUGAGAAGAAGGCCCUCGGGUUGUAAAGCACCUUUGUCCGGAAAGAAAACCUUGGCUCUAAUACAGUCGGGGGAUGACGGUACCGGAAGAAUAAGCACCGGCUAACUACGUGC